UUUCAUUUGUCUAUUCUUCUCUUGUGAAUUCUUCUCUGGUUUUUUGAGACUUUAUUCUUCGACUGCCGGUAGUGUUUUUCUUACAAUCUGGUGAGACCAUUUGUAAAUAGUUGACAAAAUCUGAUUAGGGAGGAAAACAGUUUGCUUGUGUUCAUCCCAGAGAGCAGUAAACUUUUUAUAAAAAAGAUUCCAUGUGUCUUCCACGACUCAACUAUUAGCUGCUUAAAUCCAUUAUGACAGUUUGUAAGACCACAAAUUGUGUUUGAUAGGAGCUAUGCUUUAUGAAAAAGAAGAUAUGAAAAAAGAGAAGCAAUGAGUUCACUGUUUGCUGACAAAAUCAUUUUAGACUUCAAAUAGGUAGGCAUCUGUCAGACUAACCCAUCAAUAAUUGUAAACAAUCGCCACCUUGUUUCUCCAGUUUGUUUUCCAUGUCAUUCCGUGCAUAAAUUGAAUAAACUCUCUGUAGAUUUGUCCUGAAAUUUUGUGGUUGUCUGAGUGUAUACAUGCACCUGUCUGAUGUGGUCGGUGAAUCUAGUUCCAAGUUUCAAUGCUAUGUAGAGUUGAAGAAGCAAGUCCAGCAUUAUUAGGAUUAUUUCAUCAGAUUUUGUCAUAGUCUUGAAACUCAUCCAGUAAGUUAAGUCUUUAUCCUUUUGUAAAGUCGUUACCUUCUUGGGAAGUUUAGAUGGCUGAGGUUUUCUCAAUCAUGAUUGCUGAACAUUCUUCUACUGACAGUACAACGUCUGCCAAUUUUGCAUUCUCUCUUUCCACCACCAUUUCAUUAGUUGAUAGUUAAAGGCAUAAAGCUACUUGGAUUUGUCUUCGUGAGGCUGAGCCAAUUGGAACUAGCACUCAGAAAGCAGUGAUGGUGGUGAUAUAUAUGAUCCUGGGUUCAAACAUGUGGAGUUUGGGAAGAAGUCUUUUUUUCUAGAAUUACUGUUAUUGCAAAUGAGGGUGAUGCUGUAUAUAUGAAGAUGACUAUCAUCGUGUUUGGCCUUGUUAGAGCCAGGAAAGAGAUUGCAUGUGUGUGAACUUUACUUUGAGUAAUUAGUUGGGUAGUUUAGUCCCUUUCUCUUGUAAUCAAAUAUGCGAGGCUGCUGUUUCAUUGUCUAAUUAUCAAAUUUGGUUGGAUUCUUGGAAUUGUAUUAUGAUUGUGAGACUUAUUAUGGAUGCUAGAAUUGCUAAUUAUCUUGUGAUGCAGGUUAUAUAAUACAGCUAGUUUUCUUUUGAUUUU